GUGAAUCAUCAAAUUUUUGAACGCAAAUUGCACCCUCUGGCAUUCCGGAGAGUAUGCCUGUUUGAGGGUCAGUUUACAUAAAAAUCGAGGUGUUACUGUUUGUGACCCCUCGGGAUUGGGGUAUCUUUGACCUUUUGAAAAGUUUAAGUGACCUAAAAUUGAUACCUUGUGCAUCUCAAACGUA
rnacentral:misc_RNA from 1 species